AGAGAGAGAGAGAGAAAUGGGAGGCGUAACAGUGAAGAUAGGGGUAGACUAAAUAGGGCGGUGGACGGGAAGAAACCGCGUUGUUACGGGGGAACACGCGUCAGCUUUAUUGUACGGAGAUGGGGAUGUAUGUAUAACUCUUCAACUAUACUAAACUAAAACUAAACCAUGGUUUGUUAAUUUUGACUGUUUGAUGAGUCAUUUAUGAGUGUGUAAUAAUUAUGGUACAAUACUCAGUGGCGUCAGUCAGACUUACAAGGCAAGUGGCCUUUGAGCUUUGACUGUCAAACCGCAG
rnacentral:misc_RNA from 1 species